rnacentral:rRNA from 1 species
GACGAACGCUGGCGGCGUGCUUAACACAUGCAAGUCGUACGGUAAGGCCCUUUCGGGGGUACACGAGUGGCGAACGGGUGAGUAACACGUGAGUAACCUGCCCACAACUUUGGGAUAACGCUAGGAAACUGGUGCUAAUACUGGAUAUGUGCUCCUGCUGCAUGGUGGGGGUUGGAAAGCUCCGGCGGUUGUGGAUGGACUCGCGGCCUAUCAGCUUGUUGGUGGGGUAGUGGCCUACCAAGGCGGCGACGGGUAGCCGGCCUGAGAGGGUGACCGGCCACAUUGGGACUGAGAUACGGCCCAGACUCCUACGGGAGGCAGCAGUGGGGAAUAUUGCACAAUGGGCGCAAGCCUGAUGCAGCAACGCCGCGGGCGGGAUGACGGCCUUCGGGUUGUAAACCGCUCUCAGCAGGGACGAAGCUUUUUGUGACGGUACCUGCAGAAGAAGCACCGGCUAACUACGUG